UACGAAGGGGGCUAGCGUUGUUCGGAUUUACUGGGCGUAAAGCGCACGUAGGCGGAUUGUUAAGUCAGGGGUGAAAGCCUGGAGCUCAACUCCAGAACUGCCUUUGAUACUGAGGAGCUUGAGUCCGGGAGAGGUGAGUGGAACUGCGAGUGUAGGGGUGAAAUUCGUAGAUAUUCGCAAGAACACCAGUGGCGAAGGCGGCUCACUGGCCCGGUACUGACGCUGAGGUGCGAAAGCGUGGGGAGCAAACAGG
rnacentral:rRNA from 1 species